GGUACAAUGGCAGAGUGGUCUAAUGCGUUAGACUUAGGAUCUAAUCUCUUCGGGGGCGUGAGUUCGAACCUCACUUGUAUCA